UACGAAGGGUGCAAGCGUUAGUCGGAAUUAUUGGGCGUAAAGCGUCCGCAGGUGGCACCUCAAGUCUGCUGUCAAAGACCGGGGCUUAACCCCAGAAAGGCAGUGGAAACUGAAGUGCUAGAGUGCAGUAGGGGUAGAGGGAAUUCCCGGUGUAGCGGUGAAAUGCGUAGAGAUCGGGAAGAACAUCGGUGGCGAAAGCGCUCUGCUGGACUGCAACUGACACUCAGGGACGAAAGCUAGGGGAGCGAAUGGG
rnacentral:rRNA from 1 species